GUAACGCGUAUGCAACCUACCUUAAUCAGGGGGAUAGCCCGAAGAAAUUCGGAUUAACACCGCAUAAAAACACAGUACAGCAUUGUACAAUGUUCAAAUAUUUAUAGGAUUAAGAUGGGCAUGCGUGUCAUUAGCUAGUUGGCGGGGUAACGGCCCACCAAGGCGACGAUGACUAGGGGAUCUGAGAGGAUGACCCCCCACACUGGUACUGAGACACGGACCAGACUCC
rnacentral:rRNA from 1 species